rnacentral:rRNA from 1 species
GAUGAACGCUGGCGGCGUGCCUAAUACAUGCAAGUCGAGCGAACGGACGAGAAGCUUGCUUUUCUGAUGUUAGCGGCGGACGGGUGAGUAACACGUGGAUAACCUACCUAUAAGACUGGGAUAACUUCGGGAAACCGGAGCUAAUACCGGAUAAUAUUUUGAACCGCAUGGUUCAAAAGUGAAAGACGGUCUUGCUGUCACUUAUAGAUGGAUCCGCGCUGCAUUAGCUAGUUGGUAAGGUAACGGCUUACCAAGGCAACGAUGCAUAGCCGACCUGAGAGGGUGAUCGGCCACACUGGAACUGAGACACGGUCCAGACUCCUACGGGAGGCAGCAGUAGGGAAUCUGACGCAAUGGGCGAAAGCCUGACGGAGCAACGCCGCGUGAGUGAUGAAGGUCUUCGGAUCGUAAAACUCUGUUAUUAGGGAAGAACAUAUGUGUAAGUAACUGUGCACAUAUUGACGGUAACUAAUCAGAAAGCCACGGCUAACUACGUG